rnacentral:rRNA from 1 species
GACGAACGCUGGCGGCGUGCUUAACACAUGCAAGUCGAACGAUGACGACCGAGCUUGCUCGGUCUGAUUAGUGGCGAACGGGUGAGUAACACGUGAGCAACCUGCCCUUCACUCUGGGAUAACCUCGGGAAAUCGGGGCUAAUACCGGAUAUGAGCUCCUGUCGCAUGGCGGGUGUUGGAAAGUUUUUCGGUGAAGGAUGGGCUCGCGGCCUAUCAGUUUGUUGGUGAGGUAGUGGCUCACCAAGGCGAUGACGGGUAGCCGGCCUGAGAGGGCGACCGGCCAAACGGGAACGGGGAAACGGCCCAGACCCAUAGGGGGGGAAGCGGGGGGGAAAUUUGCACAAGGGGCGAAAGCCUGAGGCAGGGACGCGGGGGGGGGGAUGAGGGCCUUGGGGUUGAAACCCUCUUUCGGCAGGAAAGAGGCGAAAGGGACGGUACCGGCAGAAGAAGCGGCGGCUAACUACGU